rnacentral:ncRNA from 1 species
CUCUUAUCAAGAGAGGCGGAGGGACAGACCCGAUGAAGCCCGGCAACCUACCCCUAUAAGGAGGUGUGGUGCCAAUUUCUGCAGAGAGGUUUUCUCUGGCAGAUGAGAG